AAAUGGUCCGAAAUGUAACUUUCAGAAUUUGACUUCUUCUUGAUAUCAAGUCAUCACUUGACAGAGGAAUUGGAUAGAGAUUGGAGGUUUGGACAUGCGCAGCUGAUGAAAAUUGGGAGUUGAGAAGUGUUUUUGAUGAAUUAAAAAAAAAAUUAACAUGAUGAUCGAUCUAAAGUUGAUGGGUAAACUGAAAUUAGUCUUUUAAUUAAUUAAGAAACUAAUUUAUUUAACUUAUGCAUGUUAUCUAUCUGGGUAGUGUCAGUAGUGUGAGUAGUGUUAGCUGCCAAUUUAUUUAUGAGAAUGCCAGCUGGGGAAUGAGGAUGCUGUUUGUUUAUGGGCGUCUGUAAGCGGCACCAUCUGGUAUCUAGUGCCUCGUCCCACACCUAACUUUUACAGUUUUACGUGAUGUUCUAUGUUCUAUUUCCAUCACCGAUAUUUCUUAAGAGCGCGUUUCCAACCAUGACGUCUCAUGUGGAGGUGUUAAUUAACCUCAUUUUAGCACCUUCUUCUUGCGCUAUUCAUACACCCAAUGCUCAGCACUUGCAUUGAAGUCUCAUAUGGUGUUUUGUGUGUUAUAUUCAAUAUUGAUCCUUGAUUAAGAUAUAAUAAAAGUAUAAUUUUUAUAAUAUGAAAAUAAAAAUAUGUAGGCCCAAAACCAUCUUGUGUGACAUGAGCGUAGGGAGAGGAACCCUUCUCAUACAUACUCUUUAUUUGAUUAGUUAAAUGGUCUAUAUAGAAAUAUAAAUUACCCUCUUUGUCAAGUUCCUAUAAAUAACAUUAUUUUCAUUUCAAGUGAUAAUGUUUAAUAAAUUCCUUCUCAGUUUCUAUAUGCAAAAGAAAGAGGAAUUCAUAAUCAAUAUUCUCUAAUGAGUC
rnacentral:lncRNA from 1 species